ensembl:ncRNA C24A3.13 ncRNA
GAUGCCUACCAAUAUCAAAAUAUCCAAAGUGUCAGAGUCGGAUGGCACGCGGCAGAGGUCUGACACAAAAUCGAACAAUUGGCACCCUGCCGCCAUUGAAAAACGAGUGACAGAAAA